AGAGUUUGAUCCUGGCUCAGACGAACGCUGGCGGCGUGCUUAACACAUGCAAGUCGAACGGUGAAGCCCUUCGGGGUGGAUCAGUGGCGAACGGGUGAGUAACACGUGGGCAAUCUGCCCUGCACUCUGGGACAAGCCCUGGAAACGGGGUCUAAUACCGGAUAACACCGGCCUCCGCAUGGGGGUGGGUUAAAAGCUCCGGCGGUGCAGGAUGAGCCCGCGGCCUAUCAGCUUGUUGGUGGGGUAAUGGCCUACCAAGGCGACGACGGGUAGCCGGCCUGAGAGGGCGACCGGCCACACUGGGACUGAGACACGGCCCAGACUCCUACGGGAGGCAGCAGUGGGGAAUAUUGCACAAUGGGCGAAAGCCUGAUGCAGCGACGCCGCGUGAGGGAUGACGGCCUUCGGGUUGUAAACCUCUUUCAGCAGGGAAGAAGCGCAAGUGACGGUACCUGCAGAAGAAGCACCGGCUAACUACGUGCCAGCAGCCGCGGUAAUACGUAGGGUGCGAGCGUUGUCCGGAAUUAUUGGGCGUAAAGAGCUCGUAGGCGGUCUGUCGCGUCGGAUGUGAAAGCCCGGGGCUUAACCCCGGGUCUGCAUUCGAUACGGGCAGACUAGAGUGUGGUAGGGGAGAUCGGAAUUCCUGGUGUAGCGGUGAAAUGCGCAGAUAUCAGGAGGAACACCGGUGGCGAAGGCGGAUCUCUGGGCCAUUACUGACGCUGAGGAGCGAAAGCGUGGGGAGCGAACAGGAUUAGAUACCCUGGUAGUCCACGCCGUAAACGUUGGGAACUAGGUGUUGGCGACAUUCCACGUCGUCGGUGCCGCAGCUAACGCAUUAAGUUCCCCGCCUGGGGAGUACGGCCGCAAGGCUAAAACUCAAAGGAAUUGACGG
rnacentral:rRNA from 1 species